GUGUGCGAGUCAUUGGGUAUUUUGUUGAAACCUAAGGGCGUAAUUAAAGUAACUAUUUUAAUGGGAUUACAAGUGAAUUAAAUUUCAUUUCUCCAUCCCGGGGCGUUCUAUACGAACAUGGUUUAAGCAAUUGAACCCUCUGUUCAAGAGCGUACCUUGAGCAUACAUGCUGUGACCCGAAAGAUGGUGAACUAUACCUGAUCAGAUCGAAGCCAGGAGAAAUUCUGGUGGAGGAUCGAAACAGUUCUGACGUGCAAAUCGAUUGUCAGAAUUGGGUAUAGGGGCGAAAGACCAAUCGAACCAUCUAGUAGCUGGUUCCCUCCGAAGUUUCCCUCAGGAUAGCUGGCGCAAAGAAUUAUAUUAUAUAUAAUCUUAUCUGGUAAAGCGAAUGAUUAGAGGCCUUGGGGCCGAAACGACCUCAACCUAUUCUCAAACUUUAAAUGGGUAAGAACCUCAUCUUUCUUGAUCUGAAGAUAUUGGGGUUUAGAUAUAUUGUGCCCAGUGGGCCACUUUUGGUAAGCAGAACUGGCGCUGUGGGAUGAACCAAACAUGAUGUUACGGCGCCUAAAUUAAUGACUCAUAUUGAUACCAUGAAAGGCGUUGGUUGCUUAAAACAGCAGGACGGUGGACAUGGAAGUCGUAAUCCGCUAAGGAGUGUGUAACAACUCACCUGCCGAAGCAACUAGCCCUUAAAAUGGAUGGCGCUCAAGUCAUAUGCCUAUACAUCAUCGCUAGAAUAAAAAAUGUUAAUUUUUUAAAUUAUCAUUAUGAAAUUCUAGUGAGUAGGAGGGUACAAUGGUGUGCGCAGAAGUGUUUGGCGUGAGCCUGCAUGAAGCCGCCAUUGGCACAGAUCUUGGUGGUAGUAGCAAAUAAUCGAAUGAGAUCUUGGAGGACUGAAGUGGAGAAGGGUUUCGUGUGAACAGUGGUUGAUCACGAGUUAGUCGGUCCUAAGCUUUAUGCGAAAGCUGUUUAAUUUAUGUUACAUACUAAUAUAAUAAUUUGUUGUACAUAAUUCAAUAAAAGCGAAAGGGAAUACGGUUCCAAUUCCGUAACCUGUUGAGUAUACGUUUGUUUAUUAAAAAUGGGUCUUAUUACACUCAUCCUGGCAACAGGAACGACCAUAGAGAAGCCUUCGAGAGAUACUGGAAGAGUUUUCUUUUCUGCUAAACAAAUGUAUCACCAUGGAAGUCUUUUAUAGAGAGAUAUGGUGGAUGGAUUGGAAGAGCAUGACAUUUACUGUUGUGUCAGUAUUUUCUCCUUGGACCUUGAAAAUCUAUGGUGGGGCCACGCAAACUUCUCAACAGACCGUACCGAUAUCCGCAGCCGGUCUCCAAGGU
rnacentral:rRNA from 1 species